CUCUGCCUUGUCACGGUGGCUGGAUAGCCCAGGAGCCCAAGUCCUACUGACCUGCAAGUGGCCUCCUGUGAAUAGUGUGUCAACAAGGCUUUGCAGAAAUACUUCUUAUUUUCUUAUUUUUUAGAGUUUCCAAGGUGUUACCCCAAUGAAGGGAAGGAUCAUAACUUCUUUCCUUGAGCCACGGGAAGGCCAAAGUGAGAAGGAAAGCAGGAAGAAAGGAGACGAGUCUGCAGGUGCCCUACCCAUGAGGACUACCUGCAUCCUUCAAAAGCAGCAUCAUCUCAACCCUUCGCUCGAGGCAGCAUUUUCAUCCACCGGCUCUCACGGCAAGACAUUGAGGACGGGCACAUCCCCAGUAGCAUGGAGAAAGCAGAAGAGGUGGGUCACUGUCAGUAACUGACUGCGGAGUAACGUGAAGAUCCAUUCCCUGAGAAGCCUGCCCAGAAUUUACACCAAACCCUCUAAGAGGCUUGAGAAUGAAAUUAGGAUAAGAGAUGCUGACACCGUGUUUUACCCUGCACAGGCAGGUCACUGCUGGUGGAGUUUAUUGCAAUCCACUGGGAAAGACUUGGCACCCUGGUAGCUCCAGGUAAGAAACUGCUGUCAUUUUCCUGUUUGCUUUAGUAUUGCUCAAGUCAGGAGAAGAAACAUUUGGAUGCUAUUGAGAGGGUCAAUACGUUGUUAAAUGUCAGUGUUGGCUGGAACAGCUACAGCUGUUUUAGCCUUUUGGAAGAAAUCACCCUUGGUGUCAUAGCUGCUGUCCCUUCAUUGCAGUGGGGCGUUGCUACCUAGAGUGAUAUUACAGCAGAAAAAAAAUGUCUGAAAAUCGACUCAAAAAUGGAGGGUUACAUGAACCUAGCAGGCAGCUUUCAUUUUACACAGUUUGCCUCUGCCCACUGGGCCAGGGCUUUGUAGCUGAAAUGCCAUCUGUACUUCGUAGGCUCUUAUCUCUCUGGUGUGCUGAGAUAGCACCUGAUUAUCAUAGUAUCGGAGCAUCUAGCUCUCUGUGAUGUAUUCAUCCUCGUAGCAAGCCUGGGGAUAGGUAAGUGCUAUUAUCUUCCUUGUACAGAUGGGGAACGCUUCAUUACGACCCAGAUCCCCACUUCAAGGUGCAGUAAUACAGAGGGCAAUAUUUAUUUAUUAAAAAUGUAGUAGUUUGUAGUGGGAUGGGCAUGAAAUUCUUCUCACCUUGUCACAAGUCCAUCGUAGAGCUGUCUUCAUAGGAGUUGGAUGUCAGAGUCCUUUUGUACUUGGAGAGAAAGCAGCACUUCCAGAGGGUGGAACAUCUCAGCCAGUUGUGAUUACCUAAAACAGCCCACAUGAAUCAUGUGCCAGGUAUAUUUACGUGUGCCCACUGACUAUGAAGGUAGGACUGUCAUCUACCUUAAAAAUAGCUAAAGCUGGGUAAGAUGAAUGCCUUUGACACUCAUUGGAAUACAACUUAGGGGUAUUCUGUGCAGAUUUUAGGUCUAAGUGACUUAAAGUGAUCUUUGGGUAGUUUGGGACUGCGCAGGUUAUUGAACAGUGAUGAUUCCUCACGGAUGGUAGAUCCCUCAUCAUGGGGAUGCCCAGCAUGAUCACAGCAUCUGCUUGGAUGGGAUGAAUUGCCCUUUGGAAAUAUCUUUUCAUGCUAUUGCCUGUUAGGGAGUGGCUUAACUUUAACGCCUAACUUUAAGGUGGGAAGUCUACUUUAAUUAGAUAGGAAGUUAAACUUAUGCAUGCACUUCUAUUUCUAGAGGUUGCUCCUCAUGCUCUGGUGUUCCUAGUCUUCUUGGAAGUGCUUUUGGGCACUAUUUCAAAACAAGAAGAGUGAAGGACAGGUAUGUGAGUGUGGGUGGGAGUUUCAUUUGUGUGUAUACGUGUGUUGCGUAUUGAUACAGGAACUUUGAUGUCAUUCAAGGAAGCUUGCCCAGGCAGCAAACUUCAUAUUUGUGUGCAAAUGAGGAGACAGUCACACCGAACUGGAGGGAGAGGAUGCUAAUGAAUGUUCUUCUAGGCUUUAAGGAAAAGAUAUUGCCCAAUGCUGUGGAAAAUUAAAAUUUGUUUCUAAUAUGUAUGGUAAAUUUAAUGCUAAAGACCAAAGAUAAAUGGGAAGCCAGUUUAAUCCGAGCUGACCCCAUUUUUGCUGGGAUGUCAUUUGCUAUGGUUUUUGCUCCCUCUCAGAAAGCAAGAGACACACUAAUUAGUUCUUGCGUUCUGCACAUAAAUUAUUGCUCCCAAACAUUUAAAGGAGAAAGUAAAGGAUGCUAUGAAAGGUGCUAAGGGAGCUAUCCUGUAUCUACAGUGGGUUUGCAUAUGAUCAUAAGUAGAAGGAUUGAUGCUGCAGUGCCACUAACGAUUGUCAGGAGGAAGAAUCUUGGCCUCUGACUGCUUCUCCACUUGUUGAGGUCACUACUGCAAGAUGUGGUGGCAACAGGAUGAAUGGGAUUAAACUCACUUUGGGAUGAAAAGGUCUCCGUGACUAAAGAGGAGAUGAAGUAUGCAGGGCUUGGUUGGUCUUGGGGUUCCUUGAGAUGGACCCAACUUUCAGCUUUUCCAAAGCUUAACAUACUGUCCCCACGUACA